GUCUUGGGGAGCCAGGCCCAGGGUUGGGGUCUCAGAAGGCAGUGCUGUUGGGGCAUCUGCACCAUGGCCUGGGCUCUGGUCCUCUUCGGUCUCCUCACUCAGGACACAGGGUCCUGGGCCCAGUCUGCCCUGAAUCAGCCUCCCUCAGUGUCCGGGGAUCUGGGACGCACAGUCACCAUCUCCUGUGCUGGCACCAGCAAUGACAUUGGGAGAUAUAAUUACGUCUCCUGGUACCAACAGCUCGAAGGCACAUCCCCCAAACUCCUGAUUUAUAGUGUAAAUUCCCGGCCUUCAGGGAUCCCUGAUCGCUUCUCUGGCUCCAAGUCUGGCAACACGGCCUCCUUGACCAUCUCUGGGCUCCAGGCUGAAGAUGAGGCUGAUUAUUACUGUUGCUCAUAUGCUAGUAGUAAUACUCUCCACAGUGGUUCAAGUUUAUGGGGAAGUGAGACCAAAACCUUCUCUGUACUCACAGGCUCCCUCCUUGCUCUGAAGAUGCUUCCAACCCUGUGCAGAGGGGACUUCAUGCAGCAUGGUCUUGAGAAUUCAGGUCUCUGUUCCUCUUCCUUCUCAAGAUAAAGUAAAAUGAAACAC